rnacentral:rRNA from 1 species
UACAGAGGGGGCAAGCGUUGUCCGGAUUGACUGGGCGUACAGCGCGCGCAGACGGAGUAUUACGUGCUUUGUGACAUCUCCGAGCUUAACUGGGAGGCGCCAAGGUACACGGAUAGUCUUGAGUGGUUGAGAGGGAUGUGGAAUACCCGGUGGAGCGGUGAAAUGCGUAGAGAUCGGGUGGAACACCAGAGGCGAAGGCGGCA